CGCUGGCGGCGUGCCUAAUACAUGCAAGUCGAACGGUCUUUCUAUGGAAGCUUGCUUCCACUGAGAAGAUAGUGGCGAACGGGUGAGUAACACGUGGGUAACCUGCCCAUAAGAGGGGGGAUAACAUCCGGAAACGGGUGCUAAUACCGCAUAGUUUUCUUGAUCGCAUGAUUGAGAAAGGAAAGACGGCCUUUGUGCUGUCGCUUAUGGAUGGACCCGCGGCGUAUUAGUUAGUUGGUGAGGUAACGGCUCACCAAGACGAUGAUACGUAGCCGACCUGAGAGGGUGAUCGGCCACAUUGGGACUGAGACACGGCCCAAACUCCUACGGGAGGCAGCAGUAGGGAAUCUUCCGCAAUGGACGAAAGUCUGACGGAGCAACGCCGCGUGAGUGAAGAAAGGGUUUUCGGAUCGUAAAACUCUGUUGUCAGAGAAGAACAAGUUGGAGAGUAACUGCUCCAGCCUUGACGGUAUCUGACCAGAAAGCCACGGCUAACUACGUGCCAGCAGCCGC
rnacentral:rRNA from 1 species